rnacentral:miRNA from 1 species
UGGACUAAGUCAUGUUGGUU